rnacentral:rRNA from 1 species
UGGGGGAUAUUGCACAAUGGGCGAAAGCCUGAUGCAGCGACGCCGCGUGGGGGAUGAAGGCUUUCGGGUUGUAAACCUCUUUCGCUAUCGAACAAGGCCCGCUUAGGGUGGGUUGUGGGUAGGUGGAGAAGAAGCGCCGGCUAACUACGUGCCAGCAGCCGCGGUAAUACGUAGGGCGCGAGCGUUUUCCGGAAUUAUUGUGCGUAAAGGGCUUGUAGGCGGCUUGUUGCGCCUGCUGUGAAAACGCGGGGCUUAACUUCGCGCGUGCAGUGGGUACGGGCAGGCUUGAGUGUGGUAGGGGUGACUGGAAUUCCAGGUGUAGCGGUGGAAUGCGCAGAUAUCUGGAGGAACACCGAUGGCGAAGGCAGGGCACUGGGCCAUUACUGACGCUGAGGAGCGAAAGCAUGGGUAGCGAACAGG